CCAAUUUAAAAUGGUAGUGAACUAGGGAUUACCAGACAUGAGAAGGAUUUGGGAAUUAUUAUAGACAACAAAUUAGGCAGCAAUAUGCAAUGUCAAUCUGCAUUUGCUAAGGCCAGUAACAUUUUGUCAUGUAUAAACAGGGGCAUAAAUUCUCGGGGUGAAAAUAUAAUUUUGACUCUUUAUAAAUCGCUAGUAAGACCACACCUUGAAUAUGCUGUGCAAUUUUGGGCACAUGUUCUAAAGAAAGAUAUCAUGGCACUAGAAAAAGUGCAGAGACGAGCUACAAAAUUGAUAAAAGGAAUGGAGCAUUUUAGUUACGAAGAAAGGUUAAAAAAAUUAAAUCUGUUUAGUUUGAUAAAAAGGCACCUGAGAGGGGAUAUGAUAACAUUAUACAAAUAUAUUCGGGGCCAGUACAAACCUUUAUCUGAAAAUCUAUUGAUAAACAGGGCUAUACAAAGGACACGAGGUCACCUUUAGCCUGGGAGAAAGGAGAUUUCAUCUAAGGCAAAGAAAAAGUUUUUUUACAGUAAGAGAAAUAGGGAUAUGGAAUUGUCUGCCUGAAGAGGUGGUUUUGUCAGAGUAUAUACAGAUGUUUAAACUGCAAUUGGAUAUACUUGCAAAAACAUAAAAUACAGGGAUAUAAUUUCUAAUUAGUGGGGUAAUAGCUGCUUGAUCCAAGGAGACAUCUGACUGCUAUUAUGGGGUCAAGAAGGAAUUUUUUCCUAGUUUGUUGCAAAAUUGGAAGCGCUUCAGACUAGGUUUUUUGCCUUCUUUUGGAUCAACAGCAAAAACAUUUGUGAGGAAGGCUGAACUUGAUGGACGCAAGUCUCUUUUCAGCUAUGUAACUAUAUAACUAUAUAGUCACCAGAGCAACUACAGCUUAUUGCAUCUGUUCUGGUGAGUAGAAUCAUUCCCUCCUGACUUUUUGCUGUAAACACUUUAUUUUCAGAGAAAAGACAGUGUUUACAUUACAGCUUGGUGAUAACUCCACUGGCAACUCCUCAAAUGGCUGCUAGAUGUGCUUACUUGCCUAAUGUGCAGCAAUGCCAUUUAGUGUCUCCACCCUCUGCAUGCAGACACUGAACUUUCCUCAUAGAGAUGCAUUAAUUCAUCUCUAUAAGGAGAUGAUGAUUGGCCAGGGCUGUUUUUGACUUGUGUUGGCUCUCUCCCUGAUCUGCCUCCUUCUCAGUCUUAGCAAAUCCUAUGGGGAAGCACUGUGAUUGGCUCAGACCACCACUUCUAAUUAUGUCAACAGACAGGGGCAGAGGUAGCAGGUGCAGACUUAAAUACAAGUAAGAUUUUAUAAAUAUUUAGAGUGGCAAGAUUUUACUAUAUUUAGAGUGGUAGAUGGUGUUUUUUUUUAACUCUAUAGGGUUAGAAAUAUAUAUUUGUGUUCCUGACCCUAUAGUGCUUCUUUAAGGGAGACCUGCUGAAUCUCACGGUAGCAACAAAUCUGGAACGUGAUCUGGCCUACUUAGACAACUGGGAGUGGGAGCUGGAGCACAACUACAGGCGACUGAUCGACUCUGUACAGCAGCAAAGUGUAUUCUUAGGUAGGGAAAGGGAGGUCAGUCUCCUCACUCCCCAGUGGCCGCAUGUGUUUAUGGUAGGGGAGGACAGUAGCCUCACUCCCCAAGAGCAGGAUGUGUUUUCGGUAGGGGAGGACAGCAGCCUCAUUCUCCAACAGCUCAAUGUGCUUAUGGGAGGGAAGUACAGUAUCCUUACUCCCCAGCUUCCAAAUAGCUUCCCUGUGAUAUAUUGACAGAUUUUAAGCUUAGAUUAGCCAAGUUUCCGAUAGAAUGUCAGAAAUUCAGGUUUUCCUCAAGCAACACACGUCUGCCUCGGGCAGUAGUUAAACCCUGCGUUUUGUUUGUUUUUUGUUUUUUAAAGGUAUGGUCAUGUAUAGUGUAUUGUUAAUAAGAAAGUUAAUUU
rnacentral:lncRNA from 1 species